rnacentral:rRNA from 1 species
GACGAACGCUGGCGGCGUGCUUAACACAUGCAAGUCGAACGGAAAGGCCCUGCUUUUGUGGGGUGCUCGAGUGGCGAACGGGUGAGUAACACGUGAGUAACCUGCCCUUGACUUUGGGAUAACUUCAGGAAACUGGGGCUAAUACCGGAUAGGAGCUCCUGCUGCAUGGUGGGGGUUGGAAAGUUUCGGCGGUUGGGGAUGGACUCGCGGCUUAUCAGCUUGUUGGUGGGGUAGUGGCUUACCAAGGCUUUGACGGGUAGCCGGCCUGAGAGGGUGACCGGCCACAUUGGGACUGAGAUACGGCCCAGACUCCUACGGGAGGCAGCAGUGGGGAAUAUUGCACAAUGGGCGCAAGCCUGAUGCAGCAACGCCGCGUGCGGGAUGACGGCCUUCGUGUUGUAAACCGCUUUCGCCUGUGACGAAGCGUGAGUGACGGUAAUGGGUAAAGAAGCACCGGCUAACUACGUG